CCUGGGAAAUCGUCAUUGGCCGGAGGAAACUAAGCAGACACGAUGACUAAAUGCAAUGUAGAAUCCUGGGACAGAAAAGGACAUUAGUGAGAGAGCUGGUGAAACCCAAGUAAGUCCAGGCUGUACCAAUGUCCACUUCCCCGUUCUGAGGAACAUGCUGUGGUCACGUGAGAUGUGAUUUUUCCCUGUUGGUGAGCUCAUUCCGUGGGAGGGCCUGGUGGGUGUUGGAGAAGCAGCUGUGGAUAGAGAUGUUCACUGAAUGUCCACUGUGUGCCUGGCACUGUUCCAAGUGCUGAAGAAAAAUGAAGAAAACAAAAAUCCCUGGCCUUGUAGAGGAGACAUUGUAAUGUGGCAAGAUGACAUAAUGAAAAAGAAUGAAGAAAAAAACAGAGAAGUAAAAUGGA